rnacentral:SRP_RNA from 1 species
UAUUCGGUCUUGCGCAACGAGAACCCACGAACCGUGUCAGGUCGGGAACGAAGCAGCACUAAGAGGGACUUCUUGGGUGCCGCAAGUAAACUGGAUGAUU